GUCAGACUCGUCAGAAAAACACAGGGGAGGAUGAAUUAGAAGAUCCACAGCCUGGUGAGACAUUAAAGUCGAAGGCCCGGGGACACUUCCCCCUCUAAUGAGAUGAUGGAUGGAGAGUUGAAGCUGGUUCUGGUCCGUCAUGGAGUCAGGAGGCUGCAGCACAA